UGACCGGGCUGUCCGGCACUUUUACUUUGAAAAAAUUAGAGUGCUCAAAGCAGGCGCGAUGCCUGCAUAAUGGUGCAUGGAAUAAUGGAAUAGGACCUCGGUUCUAUUUCGUUGGUUCGUAGAACACGAGGUAAUGAUUAAGAGGGACAGACGGGGGCAUUCGUAUUGCGACGUUAGAGGUGAAAUUCUUGGAUUGUCGCAAGACGAACUACUGCGAAAGCAUUUGCCAAGAAUGUUUUCAUUAAUCAAGAACGAAAGUUAGAGGUUCGAAGGCGAUCAGAUACCGCCCUAGUUCUAACCAUAAACGAUGCCAGCUAGCGAUCCGCCACAGCUAAUACAACGGCUGGGCGGGCAGUUUCCGGGAAACCAAAGCUUUUGGGUUCCGGGGGAAGUAUGGUUGCAAAGCUGAAACUUAAAGGAAUUGACGGAAGGGCACCACCAGGAGUGGAGCCUGCGGCUUAAUUUGAC
rnacentral:rRNA from 1 species